AUAGUGAACCAGUACCGUGAGGGAAAGGCGAAAAGAACCCCGGCGAGGGGAGUGAAAAAGAACCUGAAACCGUGUACGUACAAGCAGUGGGAGCACAGGUUUACCUGUGUGACUGCGUACCUUUUGUAUAAUGGGUCAGCGACUUAUAUUCUGUAGCAAGGUUAACCGCAUAGGGGAGCCGGAGGGAAACCGAGUCUUAAUUGGGCGUUAAGUUGCAGGGUAUAGACCCGAAACCCGGUGAUCUAGCCAUGGGCAGGUUGAAGGUUGGGUAACACUAACUGGAGGACCGAACCGACUAAUGUUGAAAAAUUAGCGGAUGACCUGUGGCUGGGGGUGAAAGGCCAAUCAAACCGGGAGAUAGCUGGUUCUCCCCGAAAGCUAUUUAGGUAGCGCCUCGUGAAUUCAUCUCCGGGGGUAGAGCACUGUUUCGGCUAGGGGGCCAUCCCGGCUUACCAACCCGAUGCAAACUGCGAAUACCGGAGAAUGUUAUCACGGGAGACACACGGCGGGUGCUAACGUCCGUCGUGAAGAGGGAAACAACCCAGACCGCCAGCUAAGGUCCCAAAGUCAUGGUUAAGUGGGAAACGAUGUGGGAAGGCCCAGACAGCCAGGAUGUUGGCUUAGAAGCAGCCAUCAUUUAAAGAAAGCGUAAUAGCUCACUGGUCGAGUCGGCCUGCGCGGAAGAUGUAACGGGGCUAAACCAU
rnacentral:rRNA from 1 species